rnacentral:rRNA from 1 species
GACGAACGCUGGCGGCGUGCUUAACACAUGCAAGUCGAACGGAAAGGCCUGCUUUCCCUUGUGGAUUGCGGGUACUCGAGUGGCGAACGGGUGAGUAACACGUGAGUGAUCUGCCCCCAACUUGGGUAUAAGCCUGGGAAACUGGGUCUAAUUCCCGAUAGGCCUGCAGGGUGGUGCCUGUGGUGGAAAACGAUUUUCUAGUGGUUGGGGAUGAGCUCGCGGCCUAUCAGCUUGUUGGUGGGGUAAUGGCCUACCAAGGCGGCGACGGGUAGCCGGCCUGAGAGGGUGGACGGCCACAUUGGGACUGAGAUACGGCCCAGACUCCUACGGGAGGAAGCAGUGGGGAAUAUUGCACAAUGGGCGGAAGCCUGAUGCAGCGACGCCGCGUGGGGGAUGACGGCCUUCGGGUUGUAAACUCCUUUCGACCGCGAGGAAGCCACCUGGUUGGAAGGGUGGUGACGGUAGUGGUAGAAGAAGCACCGGCUAACUACGUG